rnacentral:misc_RNA from 1 species
AUCAAAUAGUUGUGUGCAUAUCCAUGACUUGCUACAAGAAAUGGGUAGAGAUAUUGUUCGUCAAGAAUGUAUGAAAGAGCCAGGUAAACGUAGCAGGCUAUGGAAUCAUGAGGAUAUUUAUCAUGUAUUAACAAAAAAUAAGGGGACUAAAGCAGUUGAAGGCAUAUUUCUAGAUAAAUCAAAAUUAAAUACACUAUAUUUGGCUCCCACCAUCUUUUCUAAAAUGAAUCAAAUAAAAUAUCUCAAAUUUCAUUAUUCAAAUGUUAAUGUGGACAACGUUUGGAGUUGUGAUGAACUCAUCAAAUAUGUUCCCAAUGAUGUGCACUUUCCUGAGGGUCUUGCAUCUCUUCCAGU